rnacentral:rRNA from 1 species
CAACUUUCAACAACGGAUCUCUUGGCUCUCGCAUCGAUGAAGAACGCAGCGAAAUGCGAUAAGUAAUGUGAAUUGCAGAAUUCAGUGAAUCAUCGAAUCUUUGAACGCACCUUGCGCCCUUUGGUAUUCCGAAGGGCAUGCCUGUUUGAGUGUCAUU